rnacentral:rRNA from 1 species
GCGCCUGAAGUCAAGCAAGAACACCCGCUGAACUUAAGCAUAUCACUAAGCGGAGGAAAAGAAACUAACAAGGAUUACCCUAGUAACUGCGAGUGAACCGGUAACAGCUCAGACUUAAAAUCUCUUCUCUUCGGGAAGCGAAUUGUAAGCUGAAGACGCGGCCCUUACGCGAGUCAGUGUGGAGUAACUCGGUUGGAAUACCGGACCAUAGAGGGUGCUAGUCCCGUACCUCCUCACUGACUGCGGUAGGACGUGUUCACAGAGUCGGGUAGUUUGGGAUUGCUGCCCAAAGUGGGAGGUAGACUCCUUCUAAAGCUAAAUACCUACAGGAGACCGAUAGCGAACAAGUACUGUGAAGGAAAGAUGAAAAGCACUUUGAAAAGAGAGUUAAAAGACUUGAAAUCGCUGAGGAGGAAGCAGUCAGCGUAGCUCAGUCUACAGCGCAAAGUUCCUCACGAGGGGCUAGAAGCUGCGACAGUGCAGAGUGGAGGUAGUGCGACGUGUGACCUAGUGCUGUUAGUACAAGGAUCUGCGCCAAACCACCUCAAGGCACUCCGGUGACUCUGCUGCUACGUUAACUGACCCGUCUUGAAACACGGACCAAGGAGUCUAACAUGCGUGCGAGUAGGAGGGUGUCAAACCCCACUGCGCAACGAAAGUGAACCUUGCCAAAUUGGCAGCAAGGACCGCGUUUAGCGAGUUCAGCAGGCAUGUUGGGACCCGAAAGAUGGUGAACUAUGCUUGGGAAAGGCGAAGCCAGGGGAAACUCUGGUGGAGGCUUGUAG